GCCAUUCCGCGUGAGUGAAGAAGGCCUUCGGGUUGUAAAGCUCUUUCGGCAGGAACGAAACGGCGAGCUCUAACAUAGCUCGCUAAUGACGGUACCUGAAGAAGAAGCACCGGCUAACUACGUGCCAGCAGCCGCGGUAAUACGUAGGGUGCGAGCGUUAAUCGGAAUUACUGGGCGUAAAGCGUGCGCAGGCGGUUGUGUAAGACAGGUGUGAAAUCCCCGGGCUUAACCUGGGAACUGCGCUUGUGACUGCACGACUAGAGUAUGGCAGAGGGGGGUGGAAUUCCACGUGUAGCAGUGAAAUGCGUAGAGAUGUGGAGGAACACCGAUGGCGAAGGCAGCCCCCUGGGCCAAUACUGACGCUCAUGCACGAAAGCGUGGGGAGCAAACAGGAUUAGAUACCCUGGUAGUCCACGCCCUAAACGAUGUCGACUAGGUGUUCGGUGAGGAGACUCAUUGAGUACCGCAGCUAACGCGU
rnacentral:rRNA from 1 species